AGUGAACGCUGGCGGUAGGCCUAACACAUGCAAGUCGAACGGCAGCACAGUAAGAGCUUGCUCUUACGGGUGGCGAGUGGCGGACGGGUGAGGAAUACAUCGGAAUCUAAUUUUUCGUGGGGGAUAACGUAGGGAAACUGACGCUAAUACCGCAUACGACCUACGGGUGAAAGCAGGGGAGCUUCGGACCUUGCGCGAUUGAAUGAGCCGAAUUCGGAUUAGCUAGUUGGCGUGGUAACGGCCCACCAAGGCGACGAUACGUAGCUGGUCUGAGAGGAUGAUCAGCCACACUGGAACUGAGACACGGUCCAGACUCCUACGGGAGGCAGCAGUGGGGAAUCUUGGACAAUGGGCGAAAGCCUGAUCCAGCCAUACCGCGUGGGUGAAGAAGGUCUUCGGGUUGUAAAGCUCUUUUGUUGGGAAAGAAAAGCAGCAGGUUAAUACCCCGCUGUUCUGACGGUACCCAAAGAAUAAGCAACGGCUAACUUCGUG
rnacentral:rRNA from 1 species